rnacentral:rRNA from 1 species
GAUGAACGCUGGCGGCGUGCUUAACACAUGCAAGUCGAACGGGAAUUACUUUAUUGAAACUUCGGUCGAUUUAAUUUAAUUCUAGUGGCGGACGGGUGAGUAACGCGUGGGUAACCUGCCUUAUACAGGGGGAUAACAGUCAGAAAUGGCUGCUAAUACCGCAUAAGCGCACAGAGCUGCAUGGCUCGGUGUGAAAAACUCCGGUGGUAUAAGAUGGACCCGCGUUGGAUUAGCUUGUUGGUGGGGUAACGGCCUACCAAGGCGACGAUCCAUAGCCGGCCUGAGAGGGUGAACGGCCACAUUGGGACUGAGACACGGCCCAGACUCCUACGGGAGGCAGCAGUGGGGAAUAUUGCACAAUGGGGGAAACCCUGAUGCAGCGACGCCGCGUGAAGGAAGAAGUAUCUCGGUAUGUAAACUUCUAUCAGCAGGGAA